ACCUACGGGGGGCAGCAGUAAGGAAUUUUCCGCAAUGGGCGAAAGCCUGACGGAGCGACACCGCGUGGAGGAUGACGGUUUUCGGACUGUAAACUCCUUUUAUAUGGGAAGAUUAUGACGGUACCAUAUGAAUAAGCACCGGCUAACUACGUGCCAGCAGCCGCGGUAAUACGUAGGGUGCAAGCGUUAUCCGGAAUUACUGGGCGCAAAGAGUGUGUAGGCGGUCUUUUAAGUUAGAUGUUAAAUCUGCGGGCUCAACUCGUAGGCUGCAUCUAAUACUGGGAGACUUGAGAGUGGAAGGGGCUGACGGAAUUUUCGGUGGAGCGGUAAAAUGCGUAGAUAUCGAAAAGAACACCAAUGGCGAAGGCAGUCAGCUGGGCCACUUCUGACGCUGAGACACGAAAGCGUGGGGAGCGAUCGGGAUUAGAUACCCUGGUAGU
rnacentral:rRNA from 1 species